GUGGGGAAUAUUGGACAAUGGGCGAAAGCCUGAUCCAGCCAUGCCGCGUGUGUGAAGAAGGUCUUCGGAUUGUAAAGCACUUUAAGUUGGGAGGAAGGGCAGUAAGUUAAUACCUUGCUGUUUUGACGUUACCGACAGAAUAAGCACCGGCUAACUUCGUGCCAGCAGCCGCGGUAAUACGAAGGGUGCAAGCGUUAAUCGGAAUUACUGGGCGUAAAGCGCGCGUAGGUGGUUCAGCAAGUUGGAGGUGAAAUCCCCGGGCUCAACCUGGGAACUGCCUCCAAAACUACUGAGCUAGAGUACGGUAGAGGGUAGUGGAAUUUCCUGUGUAGCGGUGAAAUGCGUAGAUAUAGGAAGGAACACCAGUGGCGAAGGCGACUACCUGGACUGAUACUGACACUGAGGUGCGAAAGCGUGGGGAGCAAACAGGAUUAGAAACCCCUGUAGUCC
rnacentral:rRNA from 1 species